CUACGGGACGCUCCAGUGGGGAAUAUUGCACAAUGGGCGAAAGCCUGAUGCAGCAACGCCGCGUGAGGGACGACGGCCUUCGGGUUGUAAACCUCUUUUAGCAGGGAAGAAGCGAAAGUGACGGUACCUGCAGAAAAAGCACCGGCUAACUACGUGCCAGCAGCCGCGGGAAUACGUAGGGUGCAAGCGUUGUCCGGGAUUAUUGGGCGUAAAGAGCUCGUAGGCGGUUUGUCGCGUCUGCUGUGAAAAUCCGGGGCUCAACCUCGGACCUGCAGUGGGUACGGGCAAACUAGAGUGCGGUAGGGGAGAUUGGAAUUCCUGGUGUAGCGGUGGAAUGCGCAGAUAUCAGGAGGAACACCAAUGGCGAAGGCAGAUCUCUGGGCCGUAACUGACGCUGAGGAGCGAAAGCGUGGGGAGCGAACAGGAUUAGAUACCCGAGUAGUC
rnacentral:rRNA from 1 species